UGUGAGCAUUCAAGUUUCGUUUUUUGCACUUGCUUAGUAGCUGAAAUUGCGGACAUUGCAGGGUUGGGCUUGAUGACAUUUGUUGCUCAGCUGCCGCGACACAUUUGGAGCAAAGCUUCUGCUUAUUUCCUUUGGCCGCACCUUAUAUUUGUUGUCUUUGUCAACAUCUGACCUGUUUCUGCCUUGUUGAAAGCAAGUGGCCACAAGUACUGCUUAGUUUGCUCAGUCUAAACCUGGUAGUGCAUCCAGUUUAGCGCCGUGCACAUGUGUGGGGCAUUUCCUUGUUCUUAUUGUGCUGAUGUGUCGUGUUGUACAUAGGAGGAAAGCCGGUCCUCCACAAUAUGGUUGUCAGUGUUGCUGAAUACAACACAGUCUUGCUGCCUUGACACGCCACAUCAUUUGACAUCUUGGGGUGAGGUGGCAUCUUGCUGCUCCUUGUGGUCAGGCAUAGCCAA
rnacentral:lncRNA from 1 species